UACGUAGGGGGCAAGCGUUGUCCGGAAUCAUUGGGCGUAAAGAGCGUGUAAGCGGCUUGGUAAGUCCGCUGUGAAAGUCCAGGGCUCAACCCUGGAAUGCCGGUGGAAACUGUCAGGCUCGAGUCCGGAAGAGGCGAGUGGAAUUCCUGGUGUAGCGGUGAAAUGCGCAGAUAUCAGGAGGAACACCAAUGGCGAAGGCAGCUCGCUGGGACGGUACUGACGCUGAGACGCGAAAGCGUGGGGAGCAAACAGG
rnacentral:rRNA from 1 species